AACAGACGCUGGCGGCGUGCCUAAUACAUGCAAGUCGAACGGGGAAAGCUUUCGGGUGAGUACUAGUGGCGCACGGGUGAGGAACGCGUGGAUAAUCUGCCUUAGAGUGGGGGAUAACUAGUCGAAAGAUUAGCUAAUACCGCAUAAGACCACGAGAGCUGCGGCUUUUGAGGUCAAAGGUUUUUCGCUCUAAGAUGAGUCCGCGUAAGAUUAGCUAGUUGGUGAGGUAACGGCUCACCAAGGCGACGAUCUUUAACUGGUCUGAGAGGAUGAUCAGUCACACUGGAACUGAGACACGGUCCAGACUCCUACGGGAGGCAGCAGUAGGGAAUAGUGCACAAUGGAGGAAACUCUGAUGCAGCGACGCCGCGUGAGUGAUGAAGGCCUUCGGGUCGUAAAGCUCUGUCGCAGGGGAAUAACACAAUGAAGGUACCCUGUAAGAAAGGAUCGGCUAACUUCGUG
rnacentral:rRNA from 1 species